rnacentral:rRNA from 1 species
CCUACGGGGCGCAGCAGUGAGGAAUAUUGGUCAAUGGACGAGAGUCUGAACCAGCCAAGUAGCGUGAAGGAUGACUGCCCUAUGGGUUGUAAACUUCUUUUAUAUGGGAAUAAAAUGUUCCACGUGUGGGAUUUUGUAUGUACCAUAUGAAUAAGGAUCGGCUAACUCCGUGCCAGCAGCCGCGGUAAUACGGAGGAUCCGAGCGUUAUCCGGAUUUAUUGGGUUUAAAGGGAGCGUAGGUGGAUUGUUAAGUCAGUUGUGAAAGUUUGCGGCUCAACCGUAAAAUUGCAGUUGAAACUGGCAGUCUUGAGUACAGUAGAGGUGGGCGGAAUGCGUGGUGUAGCGGUGAAAUGCUUAGAUAUCACGAAGAACUCCGAUUGCGAAGGCAGUUCACUGGACUGCAACUGACACUGAGGCUCGAAAGUGUGGGUAUCAAACAGGAUUAGAUACCCGGGUAGUC